rnacentral:ncRNA from 1 species
GAGUAGGAAACGGUGCGUUGCCGCCCCGGCCGCCCAGCGGGGGGAGGCGAAGUGUCGGUUGGAUGGGAGGUUGCCGCCGAACGAAAAGCGCAUCCGCUUGCGAUACCGUUUCCGCAUCCGC